rnacentral:rRNA from 1 species
UACGUAGGGGGCAAGCGUUGUCCGGAAUCAUUGGGCGUAAAGCGCGUGUAGGCGGUUCGGUAAGUCCGCUGUGAAAGUCGGGGGCUCAACCCUCGAAUGCCGGUGGAUACUGUCGGACUAGAGUACGGAAGAGGCGAGUGGAAUUCCUGGUGUAGCGGUGAAAUGCGCAGAUAUCAGGAGGAACACCGGUGGCGAAGGCGGGACUCUGGGCCGAUGACUGACGCUGAGGAGCGAAAGCGUGGGGAGCAAACAGG